rnacentral:rRNA from 1 species
UGGGGAAUAUUGCACAAUGGGCGCAAGCCUGAUGCAGCCAUGCCGCGUGUAUGAAGAAGGCCUUCGGGUUGUAAAGUACUUUCAGCGGGGAGGAAGGGAGUAAAGUUAAUACCUUUGCUCAUUGACGUUACCCGCAGAAGAAGCACCGGCUAACUCCGUGCCAGCAGCCGCGGUAAUACGGAGGGUGCAAGCGUUAAUCGGAAUUACUGGGCGUACAGCGCACGCAGGCGGUUUGUUAAGUCAGAUGUGAAAUCCCCGGGCUCAACCUGGGAACUGCAUCUGAUACUGGCAAGCUUGAGUCUCGUAGAGGGGGGUAGAAUUCCAGGUGUAGCGGUGAAAUGCGUAGAGAUCUGGAGGAAUACCGGUGGCGAAGGCGGCCCCCUGGACGAAGACUGACGCUCAGGUGCGAAAGCGUGGGGAGCAAACAGG